GAUGAAGAACGCAGUGAAAUGCGAUAAGUAAUGUGAAUUGCAGAAUUUAGUGAAUCAUCGAAUCUUUGAACGCACAUUGCGCCCCUUGGUAUUCCGAGGGGCAUGCCUGUUCGAGCGUCAUUUUGACCACUCCCGCUUGCGGGGUCUUGGGCCUUCGCCUCUGGGCGGGCCUUAAAAUCAGUGGCGGUGCCGUCCGGCUCUAAGCGUAGUAAAUCUCCUCGCUAUAGGGUUCCGGAGGGAUGCUGGCCAACAACCCCCAACUUUUAAGGUUGACCUCGGAUCAGGUAGGGAUACCCGCUGAACUUAAGCAUAUCAAUAAGCGGAGGA
rnacentral:misc_RNA from 1 species